rnacentral:rRNA from 1 species
CCUACGUGGGGCAGCAGUGGGGAAUAUUGCACAAUGUGGGAAACCCUGAUGCAGCGACGCCUCGUGAGUGAAGAAGUAUUUCGGUAUGUAAAGCUCUAUCAGCAGGGAAGAAAAUGACGGUACCUGACUCAGCCGCCCCGGCUUACUACGUGCCAGCAGCCGCGGUCAUACGUAGGGGGCAAGCGUUAUCCGGCUUUACUGGGUGUAAAGGGAGCGUAGACGGGGCGGAAAGUCUGAAGUGAAAGGCAGGGGCUUAACCCCUGAACUGCUUUGGAAACUGCCAUGCUAGAGUGCUGGAGAGGUAAGUGGAAUUCCGAGUGUAGCGGUGAAAUGCGUAGAUAUUAGGAGGAACACCAGUGGCGAAGGCGGCUUACUGGACAGUAACUGACGUUGAGGCUCGAAAGCGUGGGGAGCAAACAGGAUUAGAUACCCGUGUAGUC